AAACCCAAAAUCACAUCA
rnacentral:miRNA from 1 species